UCCGUAGGUGAACCUGCGGAAGGAUCAUUCAUAAUAAGUGUUUUAUGGCACUUUUAAAAAUCCAUAUCCACCUUGUGUGAAAUGUCUGUCGCUUUUCUCUUUUUCCUCGGAAAGAAAACGAAGCGGCUCAACAUCAACUCAUUUUAAUUACUUUGUCUGAAAACUAUUAUGAAUAAACUAAUUCAAAAUACAACUUUCAACAACGGAUCUCUUGGCUCUCGCAUCGAUGAAGAACGCAGCGAAAUGCGAUACGUAAUGUGAAUUGCAGAAUUCAGUGAAUCAUCGAAUCUUUGAACGCAUAUUGCGCUCUUUGGUAUUCCGAAGAGCAUGCUUGUUUGAGUAUCAGUAAACACCUCAACACUCUCGAUUUGUUUCGAAUGAGUAUUGGAUUUGAGCAAACCCAACGCCUUUCUGCUAGCCAGACUUGCGGCGGGUUGCUUGAAAUGCAGGUGCAGCUGAGUUUUCUUCUGAGCUAAUAGCAUACUUAAUUAGUCCCGUAAAAAGGAUUAUUAAUCUGCUGAAGCUUACACCAAAGGAAGAGUUCUCUGGCUGACUGAUGCAGAAUUACGCAUAGCCGGUAAAACGGCUUUGUAAAACUCGAUCUCAAAUCAAGUAAGACUACCCGCUGAACUUAAGCUCAUCAAUAAGCGGAGGA
rnacentral:rRNA from 1 species